rnacentral:rRNA from 1 species
AACGCGAAGAACCUUACCGGGGCUUGACAUGGCCACGAAAAGUCUGGAAACAGGCUCCCCGCAAGGCGUGGUCACAGGUGCUGCAUGGCUGUCGUCAGCUCGUGUCGUGAGAUGUUGGGUUAAGUCCCGCAACGAGCGCAACCCUCAGUGCCAGUUACACUCUCUGGCGCAACUGCCGCGUGCAACGCGGAGGAAGGUGGGGAUGACGUCAAGUAUCAUGGCCCUUACGUCCCGGGCUACACACACGCUACAAUGGCCGCGACAGCGGGAUGCCAGGCCGCGAGGCUGAGCCAAUCCCUUAAACGCGGUCUCAGUUCAGAUUGCAGGCUGCAACUCGCCUGCAUGAAGACGGAGUUGCUAGUAACCGCGGGUCAGCACACCGCGGUGAAUAUGUUCCCGGGCCUUGUACACACCGCUGUA